AUAGGAAGCAUGUUAGCGCUUGGU
rnacentral:snRNA from 1 species